UACGUAGGGGGCAAGCGUUGUCCGGAUUUAUUGGGCGUAAAGAGCGUGUAGGCGGCUAGGUAGGUCCGUUGUGAAAACUCGAGGCUCAACCUCGAGCUGUCGAUGGAAACCAUCUGGCUAGAGUCCGGAAGAGGAGAGUGGAAUUCCUGGUGUAGCGGUGAAAUGCGCAGAUAUCAGGAAGAACACCCGUGGCGAAGGCGGCUCUCUGGUACGUGACUGACGCUGAGGCACGAAAGCGUGGGGAGCAAACAGG
rnacentral:rRNA from 1 species